CCUACGGGGGGCUGCAGUCGAGAAUCAUUCACAAUGGGGGAAACCCUGAUGGUGCGACGCCGCGUGGGGGAAUGAAGGUCUUCGGUUUGUAAACCCCUGUCAUGUGGGAGCAAAUUAAAAAGAUAGUACCACAAGAGGAAGAGACUGCUAACUCUGUGCCAGCAGCCGCGGUAAUACAGAGGUCUCAAGCGUUGUUCGGAAUCACUGGGCGUAAACGGUGCGUAGGCUGUUUCGUAAGUCGUUUGGGAAAGGCACGGGCUCAAACCGCGGACCGCAUAUGAUACUGCGAGACUAGAGUAAUGGAGGGGGAAGCGGAAUUCUAGGUGGAGCAGUGAAAUGCGUAGAUA
rnacentral:rRNA from 1 species